CGCCUGCGGCGCGCACGCAGGGCCUGGUCGGUGUCAUGGCCGCGUCCCGGCUGCCUCCGGCAGCACUGACGCUGAAACAGUUCUUGAGAAGGCAACAGGUUCUUCAGUUAUACAGAAGAAUUCUGCAGGCUAUUCGUCAGGUACCUACUGAAACUGAUCGGCAAUAUCUAAAGGAGUGGGCAAGGGAAGAAUUCAAAAGAAAUAAAAAUGCAACAGAUGAGGAUGCAAUUAGGAUGAUGAUUACUCAGGGCAACAUGCAGCUUCGGGAGCUUGAGAGAACACUUCAGCUGGCAAACUCCUAGUCUUAAUUCUGAGAGCCAAUGGACUUUCAUCCACUGUGGGAAGUACAGUACUUUCUCCAGGAUGCAGCACCUCAUCUUAUGCUAAAAUACCGAUCCCCAAUAAAGAGAAGAAAGCAGUUUGAAAAUUCAAAACUAUAUGAAGUUCUUUGGUUUGAUAGACCCCCACGCAAUGCGUAGCCUGAAGGAGUGUCUCUGAAGAAUUUCCUUGGACUCUUAUGGAACCCUCUAAAGAUUUCCACUUUUCAAACACAUGGGAGGACUCCACCUGUAGACCUCUAUUACAGUAUUCAAGUGGGGCCAUCCUAUGUCUUCAAAAUGAGCAACCAAGAAUAGCUUGCAUUCAGGAUUUUAAACUUACAAAGCUGUAAAUGACUUCUGAUCAGUUGCCUAUGAAAAGUGAAUUUGUAGCCUUGUUCCAGGCCACAUCACAAAACCUACCCAAAAAUAUUGUUGGUGUUCUCAUUGAAAAACUAGCUAUGGCCUGAAUGGGCAUGGAAACAGAGCUACCCUCUCUGCCACAGAGAUGUUUCCUUCAGGACACAGCAGAGACAGGUAUUGGGAGUUUGGGGAAGUUUGCAUUGUCACUGCCAGUGUUCAGAGAGCAAAUGGGAGACUUCCAUUUUCAAAAUUAUCAAUCCAGCAACUACUGCGGAACAUCAAAUUCAAUUAAUAUUUUAAAAGCACCUAAUUUAAAUAAAUAAAACUCCCCAUGACUUGUUAAUCCUCAGUAUAUAGCCCCUCUUUCAUAUCUGGUAAUUACAUUGCCCAGAUGACACUUGAUUUUCCUAGAAUUUUUCCCAAACCAAUGCACUUAAUUUGUUGCAAUCACCUAAAAUGUAACAUUUUGAAUUUAAAAUAUGCAACUAUGAAACAAAAGAUCUCUUGAAAGAAAAAUUCUCUUCUCAGACUCAAAACAGAUUCCCUUCCUAUCAGCUUCCCAGUCCUAACAAGGGAAAGCAGGUGCAUCUUACAGCACCGUGUCCUGGAGGUCUCCACAUUUGUGCUCUGACAAAACAAGGGUGGAAGUGAAUUCUAGACCCCAGGAUCCCUCAUGGAAUCUCCUGCUCUCCUGUUUACACCAGGAGGGGGCUGUCAGCUCACAUAUACCUAUAUGUGCAUGUUUGCGGGUACAGUGUGAGUAAAUUUGCACAUAGUUCCAUCUGUCUUAUGAAUGUAAUUCCUGUUUCUUUGCACAAAGAAACAUGCUGCUCCAUGGCUUUGUACUUUAAUUCCUGAACUAAAGUAUGUUUGAAGUCCUGUGGUUUGUUAGGUAAUCAAGGGUCAAAGCUAUUUCCAGUCUAUUAGGGUAGUUACGGAAAUCAACAUGUGUAUAUAUAAUGGUGGCAGAGUGUGGUUUUAGGCUAGAGAGAGCUUGUAUGUUUACAAUGCAUGAAAGUCUUCAGACAGAAAUAGGAAAAGAACUUGGUGAGUUACUGGGGUCCACAGAAAACCAAAGAUGAGUUUUGUUACAGGUGGAAGUUCCCAUGUGGAAAAGUUUGUGCAUUUAUUCUUCUGAAGGGCUAAGGGGCCUGAGAGUUUAGGGCUUGUCUACACCAGUGAGGCAGGGUUAUUUCAUACUAACCACAAUUUUUUGUUUGUUUUUUUUAAAUAAAAUGGGCUGUGUCCACAUGAUACAAUUCUUCUUCCAAAUUAACUGGCUAGUUAGUGCAAAUUGGACAAUCCACUUUGACAGUGGCUUGAGUUCAUUUUGGAGUAAGUUAGUGCAGAAGAAGGUUUGUGUGGACACAUCUGCACAGGGCCGACU